CAGCAACCCAUCCUUCUUCUGUGAGGGUAAUCUGGAAGACUAGAGAACCCAGCUUUAAGACGGAAUGAUCUAACGGAGAAGCGGCAGCGUGAGCCAUUUUGGCAGACGAAAUCGGCAGAGGAUAACUUUCCACUCCCCAGCAAUACAGAAGUUACCCUCUCCCUGCUCAGACCCUGACAAUGGUCUCAGUCUGUAGCAGCCAAAGAACCACAGCUCUGAAGAAAAAGGAGAUUGCUAAGCACAGCAUCCCUUCCUGCAUAUUCCCAAGCCCACGUCCAAGGCAUCUCUUCAGCCACAAAGUGUGAGCAGCCACGAACAAGGGGCUUGCUAAGGCUCAGAUGUGGAUAUUCUUUGUUCAAAAUCAAACCUUUCACAUGUACAAACCCUGUACAUGGCUGUACAAUUUCUGGCUGCGGCGCUGUCUUUAAUCAAACACCGAUCCAGGAGGUCCACAAGGAGGCAUCCUCGUCCAAAAGGAGCACCUGGCCUUUCUGGAACAGCAUCUCUCCAUCUACUGUGAGCAGAGAGCAUAUGCAGAUCUUGGACAGAAUGCUGCUUCAGAGUUCUUAAGCAUCUGGACUCAAGUUUCAAAUUACUUAUAAAUAUCUUCAAAUGUUCUCAGGACUUCUCUCUUCCGAAUACUGACAUCUUAUUCUAUGACUCACAAAUAACGUAUCCAUAGGUAAAUAUAAAAAAAGAUAUGCUGAUUUUGAUUAAGCAUGUGACUAGGGUUAAUAAAGACUAGAAUCUUUGACAUGGACUUUAACUCCUGUUGGAGAUUCACUGUACACCUACUUUUGGUUUCUAAGAGAUUUUUCUAAAAGCUC
rnacentral:lncRNA from 1 species